rnacentral:rRNA from 1 species
GACGAACGCUGGCGGCGUGCCUAAUACAUGCAAGUCGAGCGGACUUAAAAAGCUUGCUUUUUAAGUUAGCGGCGGACGGGUGAGUAACACGUGGGCAACCUGCCUGUAAGACUGGGAUAACUUCGGGAAACCGGAGCUAAUACCGGAUAAUCCUUUCCUACUCAUGUAGGAAAGCUGAAAGACGGUUUACGCUGUCACUUACAGAUGGGCCCGCGGCGCAUUAGCUAGUUGGUGAGGUAACGGCUCACCAAGGCGACGAUGCGUAGCCGACCUGAGAGGGGGAUCGGCCACACUGGGACUGGGACACGGCCCAGACUCCUACGGGAGGCAGCAGUAGGGAAUCUUCCGCAAUGGACGAAAGUCUGACGGAGCAACGCCGCGUGAGUGAUGAAGAUUUUCGGAUCGUAAAACUCUGUUGUUAGGGAAGAACAAGUACGAGAGUAACUGCUCGUACCUUGACGGUACCUAACCAGAAAGCCACGGCUAACUACGUGCCAGCAGCCGCAGUAA